UUUUUUUUUUUCCCUAAAGUAUACAUAGCAAAAUAAAUUCCAGGGACAGGUAGAAGGGGGAAAUUUGGAGUGGAGCCAGAGAAUGGAGAACUGUGGGAGGGCAGUUGAAGGUUUUAACUAGGGAACUUGACUGUUCAGUCUUCUUAUCCUUAAAAACUUCAUAGGACAAGGGCAGGCAGCUGCACCAUGUACUCAGAACUACUGGGCCAGCUCCUCUCCUCAUGGUGUCUGCAGUUGCUGACACCUGUUCGAAUGCUGGCACUCUUGCCUCAGAAAAUGAGUUGUCUGUCCUCUCAAGCUGACCCACCUCCAUCAAUCAUCCCCAAACACUGUGAACGGUCAAUAGUCUGCAAUUCACACUUGACCCAAGGGCUAAUCAGGGUCAUCUGACUUUUUUGUUGUUGUUAAGCCAGCAAAGUUAGAAGUUGGCCAAUUAUGGGGAAGUGUCUUCUCUCUACACCACCAGCCAAAUAAAGAUGUUGCCUAGCCUAUCUGAAAAAGGGGGUAGAGGGGGCAGGGGAAGCGAAGCCGGAACUGCCAGCUUACCUGGAUGCUUUUUCAGCAAUUUCAGAACCAAUCUAGUGGUCCCGAUGGGAGACCAGUUGACUGGAGAAAAACAGUCUGACAUCUGCUAGAUUGUCUCUGCAGGAGAAAAAAAUUUAAGAAAAACAGGAGGUAGGGAGAGCUGACGGUUUUCUUUCCAAUGCACAGCUUUCAUUAACUUCGGGUACCAGCCAUCUUCUUGAGUGAAGGCCAAAGAUGUCAAGAAAUGCAGAACACUCAGCCAGGACCAGGUUAGAGGCUGAGUUACCAACCACUAGGACUCAGAGCCUGAAGGCAGAGGGUUUUUCCUCCCCUGCUCAGGUAUAGUGAUUUGGUAUGUGUGUCUCUACCUCACUGGAACCCAGAACAUCUGCUAUGCCUCUCUGUGUUCUCAUCCAGGGAGGUGGAAUUUCAAUGUCUAUCCUAAAGGGCCACAGUAUACUGAUUAAAAACUUCCCAGAAUAGGAUGAGCCUCCCUCCCUAGAUGGCUGCAGAGAUUAGAUAAUGUGGCUUCUAAGUUAUUUCCUCUCUCUUGAGUUUCCUCCAAUCAUAAAAUGGGAGUGGCUAUUCAGGGAAUUUGUGUAAUACUGCCCAUAAAGUUACACAAUGUCCUACUGAAAGCUUUCAUAACUCCCUUCAAGGAGAUUUUGAGGGAGGUCUAAGCUAUGACACCAAAUGGAAUGGUGUUUUUAUCUUUCUAACAGGCAAUGAGGGAUGUCCUCUUCUGUAGGCAACUAUGAAACUACCCAGAGCAGUCAAGAAGCAUUAGCUUAGAAACUGAGUACUCAGUACUAAGAAAUGAGAAAUGGUAACUCAGUACUGAGACUAAGCACAACAGUCAUGGGCACAGAUGUAAAGAUACUGAAGAAUCUUAGCUUUGACGGGGCACAUCUUUGGAUUGGUUCCUUAGCCCCUCUCUGGCUCAAUUCCAGCAAAAGAGGGAUCAAGUUGGUUAAUAUAAAUGACAAAUAUUCUUAGAACACUUAACUUGCAAGGAGAAAAUACUGCUAGCAAUUUUAAUAGAAAUCAUUUGUUUACUCAAGACUAUUCAAAAUUCUCUGACUUCCCAGCCUCCCUUUCAGUCAGAUCAGGUCCUAUGACCCACACUGGUCAAUGGGCUGAGAAGUUAUCAUGUGACAUUUUAAACUGAAACAAGAACUGGCACGUUGGUCAACUUUUUCUUCUCAUCUCUGCAAUCAUGGAUUCAUGUGUUGAGAAGGUAGAGCAAAGUGGAAAGUCGUAUGAAUCACUGGCUCAUUACACCAGAGAACAGCUGUCCAAAGUCAACCAACUUGUAUGAAACUUGGAAGAAGUUGAUUCUGUUCUUCAGAAACAGGAAACAUUUGCUUAUUACUUAUAAUGUUCCAGGCACCAUAUGUGGCACUUUAAUGUUAUUUUUAAUAAUUCUUUCCUUACAGCUAACAGUAGUUCUAAUCUGGGAUAGUAUUGGUACCCAGGGGACAUACAUUUGGUGAUGCCUGGUGAUAAUUCUGGAUAUCACACUGAAUGGGUCCUACUACUGUCUAUUGGGUAGGCAGCAGGACACUGCUAAACAGCCCCAUAAUGGAUUUAGUAUCAACACGGCCCCCAAAGAAAAUCCCUCCCUUUGAAACCCAAACCCUUCCCACUACGACAUUUCUAUUUCCAGAUACACUGUCUAUGUAGGUAUAGACACAUGUACAACUUUUCAAUCCUUUUAUGUUCAAAUAAGAAUAAACCACACAGUUCUGAAAAUGUCUCAAAUUCAUUCUCUAUCAAAACCAACACUCCUGCCUCGCUGUCUCUAGUGGUCUAACAGACUUACAGCAGACCCUAAUUUCUCAGGGCAUAUCAUAGUAGAAGCCCUUUCUCUGAGAACACCAAAGGGAGCUUUUAAGAAACAUUAGCUCUGCCCCAUUCCAAGAAAGCCACAACUGAGCUAAGAGGGACCUGAGUGUCCCAACCAGCUCUCUGAGAACAAUCAAAAUUGGGGUCUAGAAUGAAUUCCUCCACCUGUGCCUUGGAUCUCAAAGGCCUCCAGACCCUUGAAACCUCAUCCUUCCCAGAAUGCCUUCUCAACCUCCUCUAAUCCCCUCCCUGCUAGCACUUAAUCUCAUCUCCCUGCCCUCUAGCCACUGACUACAUAAGCCACUACCACCUCUCCCCUCUCCUGAGCUGCUUACACAAAACUGGUCAUGUGAACCAACAUCAUAGAAGAGCAACAAUGUGAAAAACUGAUCUUGGAGCUAGGGCUGUAGUUCAGUAGUAGGGUAGGCCUAGAACUUCGGGCAGCACACACAAGCACAAAGGUCUAACCCAGUGAAAAGCACUGCGUCUGUUUCAACUGUUUACCCAAGAGUAAAUCUUUAACUAAACUGCAUCUACUUCUAGUUUGAGAUGUUAUGGAGAUAUAUUUACUUGAUAUACAGGUCUAAAUAUCAAGCUAGCAACUUGAUGGCUAGAGCUCAGGAAAGUUAUUUUAAGGGGGUGAAACGAGGGUGGUUACAUGAAGGAAACGUAGAAAAGGCCAAGACUACAUCCAUGAGAAAAAAAAAAAAACAAGCAGCAAUCAGGAAGAGACAGAACAGAAAACAGCACACCAUGGCGUAA